rnacentral:rRNA from 1 species
GACGAACGCUGGCGGCGUGCUUAACACAUGCAAGUCGAACGGAAAGGCCCUGCUUUUGUGGGGUGCUCGAGUGGCGAACGGGUGAGUAACACGUGAGUAACCUGCCCUUGACUUUGGGAUAACUUCAGGAAACUGGGCCUAAUACCGGAUAGGAGCUCCUGCUGCAUGGUGGGGGUUGGAAAGUUUCGGCGGUUGGGGAUGGACUCGCGGCUUAUCAGCUUGUUGGUGGGGUAGUGGCUUACCAAGGCUUUGACGGGUAGCCGGCCUGAGAGGGUGACCGGCGACAUUGGGACUGAGAUACGGCCCAGACUCCUACGGGAGGCAGCAGUGGGGAAUAUUGCACAAUGGGCGGAAGCCUGAUGCAGCAACGCCGCGUGCGGGAUGACGGCCUUCGGGUUGUAAACCGCUUUCGCCUGUGACGAAGCGUGAGUGACGGUAAUGGGUAAAGAAGCACCGGCUAACUACGUG